rnacentral:rRNA from 1 species
AAAACGACUCUCGGCAACGGAUAUCUCGGCUCUCGGAUCGAUGAGGAACGUAGCGAAAUGCGAUACUUGGUGUGAAUUGCAGAAUCCCGUGAACCAUCGAGUCUUUGAACGCAAGUUGCGCCCGAAGCCAUCCGGCCGAGGGCACGUUUGCCAGGGCGU